CCCGCACAAGCGGUGGAGCAUGUGGUUUAAUUCGACGCAACGCGCAGAACCUUUACCUGGGUUUGACAUCUCGGGAAUCUUGUGGAAACACGAGAGUGCCCUUCGGGGAGCCCGAAGACAGGUGCUGCAUGGCUGUCGUCAGCUCGUGUCGUGAGAUGUUGGGUUAAGUCCCCGCAACGAGCGCAACCCCUAUCUCUAGUUGCCAGCGAUUCGGUCGGGGACUCUAGAGAUACUGCCCCGGUUAACGGGAGGAAGGUGGGGAUGACGUCAAGUCCUCAUGGCCCUUAUGCCCAGGGCUACACACGUGCUACAAUGGGCGGUACAAGGGGUAGCGAUGCCGCGAGGUGAAGCCAAUCCCAAAAAGCCGUCCACAGUUCGGAUUGGAGUCUGCAACUCGACUCCAUGAAGCCGGAAUCGCUAGUAAUCGUGGAUCAGCAUGCCACGGUGAAUACGUUCCCGGGCCUU
rnacentral:rRNA from 1 species